UCGCCCUUAGAGUUUGAUCAUGNNUCAGAACGAACGCUGGCGGCAGGCUUAACACAUGCAAGUCGAACGAGAUCUUCGGAUCUAGUGGCAGACGGGUGAGUAACGCGUGGGAAUCUACCUGGUACUUCGGAAUAACUGAGGGAAACUUCAGCUAAUACCGGAUACGCCCUUUUGGGGAAAGAUUUAUCGGUAUCAGAUGAGCCCGCGUAAGAUUAGCUAGUUGGUGGGGUAAUGGCCCACCAAGGCGACGAUCUUUAGCUGGUCUGAGAGGAUGAUCAGCCACACUGGGACUGAGAACGGCCCAGACUCCUANGGGGGGCNG
rnacentral:rRNA from 1 species